rnacentral:rRNA from 1 species
GACGAACGCUGGCGGCGUGCUUAACACAUGCAAGUCGAGCGGUAAGGCCCUUUCGGGGGUACACGAGCGGCGAACGGGCGAGUAACACGUGGGUGACCUGCCCUCAGCUCUGGGAUAAGCCUGGGAAACCGGGUCUAAUACUGGAUAUGACUCCAUGACGCAUGUUGUGGGGUGGAAAGCCUUGUGCGGCUGAGGAUGGGCCCGCGGCCUAUCAGCUUGUUGGUGGGGUGANGGCCUACCAAGGCGACGACGGGUAGCCGGCCUGAGAGGGCGACCGUCCACACUGGGACUGAGACACGGCCCAGACUCCUACGGGAGGCAGCAGUGGGGAAUCUUGCGCAAUGGGCGAAAGCCUGACGCAGCGACGCCGCGUGAGGGAUGACGGCCUCGGUUGUAA